UACAGAGGCCUCAAGCGUUAGGCGGAAUCACUGGGCUUAAAGCGUGUGUAGGCGGGUCGUUAAGUACCUUGUGAAAUCCCACGGCUUAACCGUGGAACCGCUUGGUAUACUGGCGAUCUUGAGCCACUUAGGGGCUACCGGAACAGAUGGUGGAGCGGUGAAAUGCGUAGAUAUCAUCUGGAACGCCAAUGGUGAAAACAGGUAGCUGGGAGUGUGCUGACGCUGAGACACGAAAGCCAGGGGAGCGAACGGGAUUAGAAACCCCCGUAGUCC
rnacentral:rRNA from 1 species